AAAAAGAAGAAAAGAA
rnacentral:sRNA from 1 species